AUGGCGUCGACGGGGAAGAAGAUGAACCAGAUCCCUGCGCCGGCCGGCCGUCUCUGGGAGGCCAGCAUCCGCAAGCUCACCAGCAUCCGCCGCGGCGCUUCGGCCUUCCCCGCCGCCGUCGCCGCCGUCGACGGCCUGGUUGACCCUGCCGGAACCCUCGCCGUCACCUCCUCCAGCACCGCCUACCAGUACAGCGGCAGCGAGGACGCCGCCGAGGGCAAUGGUGCCGAGGAGGGUGACGAGGAGGAGGCGGGGUCCUCGCUCGGCGAGCCCAGCCACUCGGAGCAGCUGCUCGACAGCGGGGACUUUUACCAGGGCGACCUGCGCGGGGACCUCCCGCACGGCACCGGCAAGUUCCUCUGGACGGACGGCAGCAUGUAUGAGGGCGCCUGGCGUUGCGGCCGCGCAGCCGGCCGCGGCAAGUUCUCCUGGCCCUCGGGCGCUACCUACGAGGGCGACGUCGCCGGCGGCUACAUGCACGGCCAGGGCACCUACAUUGGCGAGUUCGGGGACACCUUCGCCGGGCUCUGGGCCAACAACCUCCGGCACGGCCGCGGCACGCAGGCCUACGCCAACGGCGACGUCUACGACGGCCACUGGCGCGACGGCCUGCAGGACGGCCACGGCCGCUACAUCUGGCGCCACGGCCAUGAGUACAUCGGCACCUGGAAGGCCGGCGAGAUGCACGGCUGCGGGACCGUGAUAUGGUCGGACGGCGACCGCUACGACGGCUCCUGGGAGGACGCCAAGCCCAUGGGCCAGGGCACGUUCCGGUGGGCCGACGGCGGCAUGUACAUCGGCACCUGGUGCCAGGAGUCCGGCGUCACGCACGCCAAGGGCGUCUACUACCCGCCGUCCGGAGGCCCCGCGGUGCCCGUGCCCCGGGAGCCCCGCGACGCCAUCACCAAGUUGCUCGAGGAGCUGGAGGUUACCGAGGGGAAGACGGUGUCCCUGCUGCCAUCGCAGAAGAUCCUCACAUGGCCCGGGGUGGAGGCCGUGCUGAAGAAGCCGGUGUGGCGGCCGCCGGAGGUCAGCGCCGACCAAGCGAGGGUGUCGGUGUCGAGCGUGCGCCGGAGAAGCAGCGUGUCGGACCUUGACAGUCUCACCACCGGGGAGGACGGCGGCGAGGAUGCCAGCACUCGGGCGGACCGGGCAUGGUCGCGGACGCUCUCGUGCAUCCGCGCGCCGCCAAGGCCGGGGAAGAAGCAGGGGGAGACGAUAUCCAAGGGGCACAGGAACUACGAGCUCAUGCUCAACUUGCAGCUCGGCAUCAGGCAUGCUGUGGGAAGGCAGUCAGCGCCGACAUCACUGGAUCUCAAAUCGUCAGCAUUUGAUCCCAAAGAGAAGGUGUGGACAAGGUUUCCUCCCGAAGGAUCCAAGCACACGCCGCCUCACCAGUCGUGUGAUUUCCGGUGGAAGGACUACUGCCCGUUGGUUUUCAGGACAUUGCGCAAGCUCUUCGACGUCGACCCCGCGGAUUACAUGAUCUCGAUAUGCGGGGAUGAUGCGCUCCUUGAGCUUUCAUCACCCGGCAAAAGUGGAAGCUUCUUCUACCUCACCAACGACGACAAGUACAUGAUCAAAACAAUGAAGAAAGCAGAGGUCAAGGUGCUUCUUAGGAUGCUUCCGGCCUAUUAUAAACACGUCCGCAACUACGACAACACUCUAAUAACAAAGUUCUUUGGCCUGCACUGUGUUAAAAUCACAGGGGGCAUUCAGAAAAAGGUUCGGUUCGUGAUAAUGGGGAAUCUUUUCUGCUCUCGCUAUUCAAUCCAUCGGCGUUUUGACUUGAAAGGAUCUUCGCUUGGCCGCAUGACAGACAAGCCCCUUGAUCAGAUUGACGAGACCACCACGCUCAAGGAUCUUGAUCUCAAUUUCAUUUUCCGGUUAGCAGGAUCCUGGUUCCAGGAAUUCUGCAGGCAAGUGGACAGAGAUUGCGAGUUGCUGGAGCAGGAGCGGAUCAUGGAUUACAGUCUUUUGGUCGGCGUUCAUUUCAAGGAUCGGUGCAAAGAUACCGGCAAUGCUGACAAUGGGACACCUACUACCACGGAUGAAGAUUCUGAGCAAAAAAGAAAAGCACAAGAAAAACUAGGCAUUAGCAUGCCCUCAAGGGUGGAGAACAUAGUGAGAAAUCCUGAAAGUGAAUCCCUGCUCAUCGGCGAGCCCACGGGCGAAUUCCAGGACGUGAUCCUCUUCUUCGGGAUCAUCGACAUCCUGCAAGACUACGAUAUCAGCAAGAAGCUCGAGCACGCCUACAAAUCCAUGCAGUACGAUCCCAACUCCAUAUCCGCGGUCGACCCGAAGCAGUACUGCAAGCGGUUCCGAGACUUCAUUUUCAGGGCUUUCGCGGAGGAUGUACAGUAG
rnacentral:rRNA from 1 species